UACGUAGGGGGCUAGCGUUGUCCGGAAUCAUUGGGCGUAAAGCGCGCGUAGGCGGUCAGGUAAGUCCGGUGUGAAAGUCAUAGGCUCAACCUAUGAAUGCCGCUGGAAACUGUCUGACUUGAGUCCGGAAGGGGCGAGUGGAAUUCCUGGUGUAGCGGUGAGAUGCGCAGAUAUCAGGAGGAACACCAAUGGCGAAGGCAGCUCGCUGGAACGGUACUGACGCUGAGGCGCGAAAGCGUGGGGAGCGAACAGG
rnacentral:rRNA from 1 species